rnacentral:rRNA from 1 species
UAGUAUUAGUUAUGUUCUUGAAAUUUAAAGAAUUUGGCGGUAUUUUAGUCUUUUCAGAGGAACCUGUUCUAUAAUUGAUAGUCCACGAUUAAUAUGACUUAUUUUGAUAGUUUGUAUAUCGUCGUAAUUUGAAUAUUUUUAAAGAAUUUAAAAUAAUCAAGAUUUUUAAUAAUAAAAUAAAUCAGAUCAAGCUGCAGCUUAUAGAUAAGUAGAGAUGGGUUACAAUAUUAAUAUUUAUAUGGAUUUGUAUAAGAAUAUAUAUAAUGAAAAUGGAUUUGAAAGUAAUGUUAAUUAAUUAAUUAGUAUGAUUUAAGCUCUAAAAUAUGUACAUAUCGCCCGUCGCUCUCAUAUAAAGUGAGAUAAGUCGUAACAUAGUAGGUUUACUGGAAAGUGAACCUA